rnacentral:lncRNA from 1 species
UCUCCAGAAGACAAAACAGAAAUUAACUAUUGUGUUGCUAACCCAGGAUACUAUAAUAAAACUAUAAUAAAAAUAAAAAAUGUUUUAAAUGUGCUAAAUAUCUUAGCAAGCAAUUCUUUGCCUGAUCUCUAAAUUUCCUAGUGUAGAGGGCUUGUGGGCUCUGUACAACCAUAUAUACUUGUUGAGUAUUUUGAUGCCUUCCUGUGACUACUCACUUUUUAAAGAUUGUAUUGGCCAAUGUGGAAACAUAAGAAAAGCAAAUGCGAAGGAUGGCUAAUUACAUUGAAUUAACGGCAGCAAUAGUGAUCUGACCUCCUUAGACUAGAUACUGUGACCGUCUCUAGAUGUUUCAUUUGAUGACUGCAGAGAUCAUGCAUAUGGAAAUUGUUGUUAUUAUCUCUGAAGUGGAUAAGGUAGCGAGCAUUUUGGAAGACUGGAUGUGAAAACAGAGAUGCAGUUAUACCAGGAGAGAGCAUUACAAGAAAAGAUUAAGACUUACUCAAAGUAGUGAUCAGUUAUCAGCCCCAAGCAGAUUCAGCUAAUGAGUGCCUUCAACCACUAAAAUGAGAUUCAUUGUU